GUCAUCGUACGAAGGCGCCAAGGCUCGCCCUUUAUUUUGCUUCUGUGUCAGUUUGGCAGUGUGAAGGGUGGAGUGUACACGUAUUUGUCAUUUGUCUGAGUAUUUCGAAGAGAACGUGCGAUCAUAAACAAAGAUUAUCAGACGAGUUUAUCCCGAAGACGCGAAAGUCACCCGGAAGAUGGGCACCCGGCUCCCCUCCCCCCACCGCGGCGACGGCUCGCUCCGAUGCCCCGCGCCCGAAACGAAAUGAAUUGUGAUCAAUAAGCCCUGCGCGUGUUUGUUUUUUUCAUCAUAAGUCUGUUGUAAAUAGAGGUUGUCGAGAGGUUCAGGUAACGCGCGAGAUGGCCCCGGGAAAGCUCGAACGGCCGAGGGCGAACCAGGCGUGAGAAGCGACGUGUCCAGGUGUGACUCGGGAAAGGCCACCGCGCGCUGCUGAAACGGGGAAGAAAAGAAAAGAAAAUAGAUAGAUAAAGAGAGGAAAAUAAAUAAAAAUAAAGAGAGAGAGCGAAAAGAGGGCGUAUCGUUCAUAUUAUUUUUGCAUGUGUGAGAGUGCAGGCCUACCCAACAAAAUGAACGGCCUUAUGGUUCGCAAGAAGAAGUACCGCUUCCAGGUGGACGUGCGGGUCGAGGAGCUGCAGCACGUGCCCUUCGUCAACCAGGUGCUGUUCGCCAAGGUGCGCCUGCUCGAUGGGGGCUUCACCGACCACUCCACCAGGUAAAUACCCCGAGUUUAACUGCGA
rnacentral:lncRNA from 1 species